AAAAAUGUUUGGUCUCGUACCAAAUCAACACCUGUGUGCACCAAAUGUCUGUCCUUGGUAGUUCGAGUUGCACUUUUGGGACCUCAACAUCCCAGAGUGCCUACCGUUUCUCUCAUGGCCGUGUCCAAUGGGCCUUGCUUAUUGGACUGGCCGAGUUGCGGUUGGGCUACCGACCAUGUCAAACAACUUUCUUAUCUUUUUGCCUGAACUUUUUAAGACUUGAUCUUAAAAUCUUAAUGUAUCUUAUA
rnacentral:misc_RNA from 1 species